CGCCAUGCCCCCACGCCGCCGCCUUCUCUCCGCACUGCAGCCCGUAUCGGCGUCUCCCACGCCUCCGUACAGUGUCCAACGGAGGGGAUCAGUGGUAAGAGUCAGUUACCUAUGUUGAAGAACUCAAACCUCGAGGAUGAUCUGAACGUUGUACAAUGGAGGGGAUCAGUGGAAGGAGAACCUGACAACUUGAAAAUCAAUCGUGAUGGUUUCUUUCAUGAAGAGAGUUGCAGUUUAUGCAGCUUGUGUUCUUUUCAAACAAGGUAAUGCACUUCACCAUAUUGAAUAAUUCUUAGGAUGCAAAUUACAUUCGAAAAGGCAUCUGGCAGUUGCUGUUGAAACAAAGGAUAGGAGCACACCGACACAAAUCCAAUCCUUAGAUGUUAGCUUUUCCUUUCUCAAAAAAUAAAAAGAUGUUAGCUCUUCCAUGUUUUCUGUAAUAGUAGCAUAGAUAAAAAGGCUGGCACGUUAAUGACAGAUCAUACUAAUGCUUAACAUAUAGACCUAUCAUGCAUAUAACCAUCUGUAAUUCCUUGAACAGCUGUUGAUCUAUGCUUUCUGAUACGUACUUUCUGAUUUGGUCCUAGCAAUUCCUUAUUAUGCAGCAAAUUAGAGUUCUAGAGGCACUUCUUUAUGUGUUCCAACUCUUUUGAAGUUACAAGGAUGGGUUGAUGGCUUGAUGCUACGAAUUGUUUGGGUCGACUCG